rnacentral:lncRNA from 1 species
UCAGUUUUUGUUAUUGGUGUAUCAAAAACAUUAAUGUACGAAUAUAAUUUCAUAAAUUUGAAACGUUUAAAAUGAUUACAUACCAAUAUAAAGAACCGUUCAUCAUUUUUGAAAGACUAUGAUUGAAAUUUGUAUUAUUUAUCUUCCCUUCAUGAUAGAUUGAUUGGGAAAUGAACCAGAGUUAUCUAAAGGUAAUCACAGAGAGAGAAUAGCAAGCAUUUUUUAAUUGUAGCUUAUUUAACGAUAAAACAACUUUCCACUAUAAACAAAUGUUACUUUAUCCAAAUAUAAGGACCUUGUUAGCUAAAUCUACAAAUUUUAUUAGAUAUUAUGAAUUUUUAUUACAAUAGAUUAAUAU